rnacentral:misc_RNA from 1 species
AGAUAUAUGUCUUAUCUUAAUGGCAAACUGUUGGCCCGUUGAGAUUACUACUAGAGAAAAUUGAGGGUAGACAUGCAGCAUAGAGAGGACUCGGUGCGAAACUCAUAUACAGCCUACAGAUGAACUGGCUGCAUGGUAACUAACAUUGAGGAGAUACUUUUGUGGGGUUGUUGAACAGAGACCAAAAUUUGAGUCCUAGCUAGAGUUGUGUAUAUAAUGGAGGGAUGAGAUAGUAGUGCAUUAUAAUAUCUCAGAGCUACAAGCACUCGGAGGUAGCAAUACAUGUAAUUUAGAGGUUCCUUAGUUUUCUGCAGCUGGAAAAAUGAAUUUGCUGGAUGAAAUGGUUUAUUAUUUCCUUGGUUCUUAGACUGUUCAUUGUUUUCAACUCUAUUGCAUUGGUUCUGUGAGCACUGGCUAAGAGUCUCUUAGGG